rnacentral:rRNA from 1 species
CAACGAGUCGCAAGACCGCGAGGUUUAGCAAAUCUCUUAAAGCCGUUCUCAGUUCGGAUUGUAGGNUGCAACUCGCCUACAUGAAGUCGGAAUCGCUAGUAAUCGCGGAUCAGCAUGCCGCGGUGAAUACGUUCCCGGGCCUUGUACACACCGCCCGUCACACCAUGAGAGUUUGUAACACCCAAAGCCGGUGGGGUAACCUUUUGGAGCCAGCCGUCUAAGGUGGGACAGAUGAUUGGGGUGAAGUCGUAACAAGGUACC